rnacentral:rRNA from 1 species
AGAGUUUGAUUCUGGCUCAGAUUGAACGCUGGCGGCAGGCCUAACACAUGCAAGUCGAACGGUAACAGGAAGAAGCUUGCUUCUUUGCUGACGAGUGGCGGACGGGUGAGUAAUGUCUGGGAAACUGCCUGAUGGAGGGGGAUAACUACUGGAAACGGUAGCUAAUACCGCAUAAUGUCGCAAGACUAAAGAGGGGGACCUUCGGGCCUCUUGCCAUCGGAUGUGCCCAGAUGGGAUUAGCUAGUAGGUGGGGUAACGGCUCACCUAGGCGACGAUCCCUAGCUGGUCUGAGAGGAUGACCGGCCACACUGGAACUGAGACACGGUCCAGACUCCUACGGGAGGCAGCAGUGGGGAAUAUUGCACAAUGGGCGCAAGCCUGAUGCAGCCAUGCCGCGUGUAUGAAGAAGGCCUUCGGGUUGUAAAGUACUUUCAGCGGGGAGGAAGGGAGUAAAGUUAAUACCUUUUGCUCAAUGACGUUACCCGCAGAAGAAGCACCGGCUAACUCCGUGCCAGCAGCCGCGGUAAUACGGAGGGUGCAAGCGUUAAUCGGAAUUACUGGGCGUAAAGCGCACGCAGGCGGUUUGUUAAGUCAGAUGUGAAAUCCCCGGGCUCAACCUGGGAACUGCAUCUGAUACUGGCAAGCUUGAGUCUCGUAGAGGGGGGUAGAAUUCCAGGUGUAGCGGUGAAAUGCGUAGAGAUCUGGAGGAAUACCGGUGGCGAAGGCGGCCCCCUGGACGAAGACUGACGCUCAGGUGCGAAAGCGUGGGGAGCAAACAG